GUUAUAGCUGUUAAUGCAUCUUCAAUUCAUCAAUACUUUAUUGGAAGCUUCCUUUGCAAAAUGUUCCUUUAUCUCGUGUUCGUCUGGCAGGGCCUUUCCAAAAGCCCAGCAAUGCCCAUCCAGAUCUACUUGAGAUAAUAUGGGCUUAAUUGAAGGUUUUGCAGAUGAAGCUUCCACAAAAAAUUGCCAAGUAGAGUUCGAAUUAAUUUUUAUAACUUUGAUCAAGUGGCAUGGCUAACAAAAACUGUACUGAUCUAAAUGAAAAAUGUUUCUCUUGCUGAUAAUCGCAGGACCGUCUGUAAUAAUUCGGCCUGCCAUUAUCAUCCAAAGAUCGAACGUUUAAACAAUAAUAAUUCAUCAGAAUAUUUUCAAAUUCCUCUAUGCCACAGUUUUCAUGUGACAAUCAAACAUUCUACACGUGAGAAUUGUUAACAAAUUGUUCAAAAUUACAUGAAAAACAUCGAUCACGGUUAUUGAAACAAAAACUAGAAUUCACUUGGAAGUUUUUUAGAUUCAUGAUGAAUUGAAAAUGUAUUGAAAACUUUAAGC
rfam:Drosophila mojavensis strain TSC#15081-1352.22 Ctg01_11055, whole genome shotgun sequence.